AACAAACCAAUAAAUUCCAUUGAGUUUGAGCAUGGCAGCUGCUUAUCACCCCAACGUUGAUAACUUAAGAGAUUAGAACAAACUUUCACCCUUUUGUUAGCCCAAAUCCAUAACUUAACAAAGAGUGAUUAGGAAAUUAAAAGUUCUUUAAUCGAGCAAUUAACUACUAUUUAACUGGGGUCAAAAGAGUUGGCUUGACCAGAAUUCCUG
rnacentral:lncRNA from 1 species